GAGCAGAGCAGGCCAGGAACAUGCAAUAUUGAGGCCUGAGCAAUAGCCAUGGGAGCGGCUCCUUGAGCUGCGACCAUCAUAGCUGUAAGGAGGUCACACGGCUUCCCCUCCCGCCGCCAGCCCUGGAGCAGGGCCCACCUUCACAGGAACCAUAUGGCGCGCUGACAACAGAACAACAUGUGGAAACUGCCUAUUUUACCUUCUGUCGCUGAAACAGGACACAUGACAAACUUUUGCUUCUUUUUUUUCAGGACAUCGAGAGAAGAAGAAAUUGGCUAAAAUGAAAAAACAUUUUUUUGUCUUCUUGGGACAGUGGCUUGGAAUGAAGGAGGAUCAGGCAAUGAAUUUAAUUUCCACGUGACUCUAGUUCAGUAAUUUACCUCACCUCUUGAGCCUGGGUACGCACGUGUGUAAAAUGAAGAUGAUGUCUUCCCCUCGGACCUGCUGUGAGGACUCAACUAGAUAGCUUCAACACAAAGAAGCAGGAACCCAGGGAGAAGAGGCCGGGAGAAGACAAGGCUCUCCAGAAAACACAAGAAUCCACCAGCGAGUCUUGAAGUUCCACGGGCUAUAGAACUGGAAUCGAUGGUGGUGCUGGAGCCCACGUUGCCUGGCAUUUCAAGGGACAGGGGACUCUUGAAAGCAUCUGGUUACACCAUGGCUGAAAGCCAAGUUUUCCGUGAGGUCCCGAAGUCCUAGACAAACAUUUCUUUUAUUUAGUGUGUUUGAAUUUUAAGCUUUAGGCCUUUAGAGAAAGAAUCAAGCUGACAUCCCAUUAAUAUUACUAUAAUCCCCAUUGUAGCGUAUUGUACUACUGCUAGGAACCUUUUCAAAUCUUUAGUUUUCUUUGAUCUUUACCAAAGACUUGUCAGAGAGAAAGGGCUGGUAUUAGUUUUACAUUCCUAUGGGGAAACUGAGGCACAAAGAGAUGAACAAUAAAG
rnacentral:lncRNA from 1 species